GACGAACGCUGGCGGCGUGCUUAACACAUGCAAGUCGAACGGAAAGGCCCUGCUUUUGUGGGGUGCUCGAGUGGCGAACGGGUGAGUAACACGUGAGUAACCUGCCCUUGACCUUGGGAUAACUUCAGGAAACUGGGGCUAAUACCGGAUAGGAGCUCCUGCUGCAUGGUGGGGGUUGGAAAGUUUCGGCGGUUGGGGAUGGACUCGCGGCUUAUCAGCUUGUUGGUGGGGUAGUGGCUUACCAAGGCUUUGACGGGUAGCCGGCCUGAGAGGGUGACCGGCCACAUUGGGACUGAGAUACGGCCCAGACUCCUACGGGAGGCAGCAGUGGGGAAUAUUGCACAAUGGGCGGAAGCCUGAUGCAGCAACGCCGCGUGCGGGAUGACGGCCUUCGGGUUGUAAACCGCUUUCGCCUGUGACGAAGCGUGGGUGACGGUAAUGGGUAAAGAAGCACCGGCUAACUACGU
rnacentral:rRNA from 1 species